UUCGCUCGAUAAUCGAUUCCUAGGCUGCGUCUCUAGCUUUUUUAACUACUGUCGUAUUGCAUUUUUUGUAAAUAUAGGCUCGUAAUCUUCAUAAAAAUGCAUUAUGAGUUCCUGCUCACGGCUGUAAACGAUGCUGCACGUUCUUUUGGCCAUUUUACUUGGAUCGAAUGUUUCAAUCGAUAUUCACUUACUCGGUCUGUGGUCCAUGAACGCGCACGUAACUUCACUGCACACCUGGCUUUCAUCAAGCAUCAACUCUUGAGACGCUACCAAGGUCCAUGAAACGGAACUGAUCCAGACGAUGUAACCUGGCGAAUUCAAGCGAAGUUUAUUUUCGUAUGCCCGGCUUUUCUUCCACAGCUUGGUGAAAUACCCCCCUGCUUUGAGUAACAGGCCCUUGCCUUUGAGGCCCAGAUAUUCUUCCAUGCUACGAGUACAGAGCCAUCCUGCAGCGCGAGGAGGGAUGCGGCGCGUGGAGGCCUGCGGUUUUGCACCCAGCUACUGUCUUCUACAUGCACACUCUAGACACACACACCACACAAACACACACGCUACACAGUACACAAGACAUCUCUAUUGAACAUCUCUUUCCAAAACUGUGGCAUUAAGAUGGAGUUGCUCCCCCCUUUGCCACUAUAAAGCCUCCACUCUUCUGGGAAAGCUUUACACUAGAGUUUGGAACAUGGCUGCAGGGAUUCGUUUCCAUUCAGCCACAAGAGCAUUAGUGAGGAUGGGCACUGAUGUUGGGCAAUAAGGCCUGGCUCACAGUCAGUGUUUCAAUUCAUCCCAAAGGCGUAAACACACACACGUGCAUACAUGCAUGAAAUUUUGCCACUUCACACACACAAAUCACUUAUUCGCCAUGACGGAUAUGCUGGUCCUGCUGUUUACACGCACACACGCGCACGCACACACACACCUCUGCAUUCACCUCCACAAACACAGAAGUUCUUGGACAAACUGAUUCAAGUCUUUCAUCUUUUUUUAAGCACUUAUUGUUUAUUAUAAAAUAAAAUCUGAACAUUC